rnacentral:rRNA from 1 species
AUUGAACGCUGGCGGCAGGCCUAACACAUGCAAGUCGAGCGGAGCGGCGGACGGGUGAGUAAUGACUAGGAAUCUGCAUGGUAGUGGGGGCUAACGUCCGGAAAUGGGAGCUAAUACCGCAUACUCUCAGAUGAGCCUAGGUCGGAUUAGCUAGUUGGUGGGGUAAAGGUCUAACAAGGCGACGAUCCGUACCUGGUCUGAGAGGAUGAUAAGUCACACGGGAACUGAGACACGGUCCAGACUCCUACGGGAGGCAGCAGUGGGGAAGAUUGGACAAUGGGCGAAAGCCUGAUCCAGCCAUGCCGCGUGUAUGAAGAAGGGCUUCGGGUUGUAAAGCACUUUCAGAUGGGAGGCGUUACCAGCAGAAUAAGCACCGGCUAACUUCGUGCCAGCAGCCGCGGUAAUUC